AACGAACGCUGGCGGCAUGCCUAACACAUGCAAGUCGAACGAUCCCUUCGGGGUUAGUGGCGCACGGGUGCGUAACGCGUGGGAACCUGCCCUUAGGUUCGGAAUAACUCAGAGAAAUUUGAGCUAAUACCGGAUAAUGUCUUCGGACCAAAGAUUUAUCGCCUUUGGAUGGGCCCGCGUUGGAUUAGCUAGUUGGUGGGGUAAAGGCCUACCAAGGCGACGAUCCAUAGCUGGUCUGAGAGGAUGAUCAGCCACACUGGGACUGAGACACGGCCCAGACUCCUACGGGAGGCAGCAGUGGGGAAUAUUGGACAAUGGGCGAAAGCCUGAUCCAGCAAUGCCGCGUGAGUGAUGAAGGCCUUAGGGUUGUAAAGCUCUUUUACCCGGGAUGAUAAUGACAGUACCGGGAGAAUAAGCCCCGGCUAACUCCGUG
rnacentral:rRNA from 1 species